rnacentral:lncRNA from 1 species
GCAGCCGCUCCGCCCGGCGCGCGCGGGGAGGAGGGAGGGGCGGGGGAAGGGAAGGGCGGGGGGAGGGAGGGAAGGGGCAGAGCCAGCCCGCUGCCGCCGCGCUCCUCGCGGGCCGCCCGCCGCCGCCGCCGCCCGCCGCCGCCUCGCCUCGCCGAGCUCUGCUUCCCACCGCCGCCCUCGGCAGCCCAGGGGCGGGCGGUGACGACGGAGCGGGGAGGGGCGGAGGGCGCGCGGCCGCCGCCGGAGCGGUGCUAAGGGCCCGCGCGUGCGCGUGAGCGCAGGGGGCGGGCGCGCGCGGGCUGGCGUCUGGCGGCUCGCGGGCGGUUUGACAUUGCCGCCCUCCGGCGCGGGAGGAGCUACGGGGGCGGGGGCGGGGCUGCGGGAGAAGGCGGGGACCGGGGGGAGGGACUGGCCAAUCGCCACGGUCGCCCUGCUAACCGGAAUUUGGUGACGGCCUGUCACGGAGCGACAGGUAUUUAAAAGGGGCGGGGCGAGGCCCGGCGGCCAAUCGGAGUGACGAAGGAGAAGGCGUGGCAGCGCGCGCGGAGGGGAGACGACUCUCGUCGCCGGGCAUUGGCGGGUCAGGAAAGGGAGGGCGCUGAGUGGCAGCGCUGUGAACCAAUGGGGGCGGCGCGGCGCCGCGCGGGUCACGGCGGGAGAGGAGCGUCGCCGGCGGCGGCGCUGCAGCGCGCGUGGGCCGGUGCUGCUCCUGGCGUUCCGCGCGGCCUCGCCGCGGGGGCUGCUGGGAGCCGCAGUUCGCCGCGUGCGUGUGGCGCGAGGGGAGCUGCGGCUGCCGCCGCGUGCGCGGCCGUGACGGCACCUGCGGGGUGCUGGGGGCACUGCGUGGCGCGGCUUUCCCCAGCCAGCCCUCUGAGGGCUGCUCGGCCGUCCCCGAGUGCUUCUGCUUGGCUUUCGAGGUGAUAACUGGAAGAUCUUUGAAAAUACUGAACAAGCUUAUACCAGAAUCGUCUCCAGCUCGCUGUAAAACCACCUGGAAACUUCUUCCUCAUCUGUCCUCUGUUUCUCUGCGCAACUCUAGGAGGAACCACCCAGGUAGGAAACCAAUAAUAAUACAAGUGACAGAGAAGAAAGUUCUAUGUUUUCUUCCUUUUGUAAUCCUCUUGUAAUUUUUCGGUAUUUUCAGUACGCCAGUUCAGCUGCUAAAAUUAUCUGAGUGGUAAAACCUCCACCCAGCCAUCAGCUAAAAGCCUCUUCAGCAACAAAAUAUCUAUCAAGCCUGCUUGAUUUAGUGUAUUGUAUUUAGCGAGCACAUGGCCUACUCUUUAGACCACUGAAGGUGAUUAAUUUUCUUUUGUAAUGGAACGUUAUUGGAUAAGAUCACAUAAUUAUUUAAUGAGGUUUAGCCAUGGAGAUGCAGGCCUGUAUCUGAAAUAUGCUCCUUAAACUGUUCCAUCUAGAUCUGCACGCUCAGACAAUUAAGAUGAAAGUAGGUUUGUGUGUACUGGAAAACUCAAGAAUUUGAAGUAAUUAAUGUAAUUAAAGUGGAUUAGUUAAAUAGGAUUAAUUCCAGAUCUCUUUCCAAAGCGAAUUAAACUAAACCAAGUUAAGUCCACUUUGAUUCUGAGUAAAAGCAUCCACUUGCCAGCCUAAUGCAGUUUAAGUAAUCUUCUUAAAAAGUGAAUUUGGAUCAGUUUUCCUGAAUAUUUUCCUAGUUCCUUUGGAUUAAAACAGAAAUGGCUUCAAUUCUGCUUGCUCUAGGGCCUCGUUGAAUGUGACACUCAAGAUUGGAGACUAUGAUUAGUACUCAGGAAAAAAGUGUCUGCACAACUGCUUAGGAUUGAAGUGAAUGGAUCUUUAUGUAGUUUUAUGUGUUGUCCAGGCUUAUGCAUCUUCUACAUUUUCACUGUUUACACUUUAGAUGCCUACAGAGUGAUAAAAGCAUAAAGGCAGGUCUUGCUAUGUAAGGUAUGUUGCUGUUGUUCAAGUCCUCUUGGGUUAUGUUCUGCUUCACAGCGUGAAUUUCUGCUCUUUAAGGUUACCAGGUGAGUUGUACCAUAAGCCCUACUGAGUGCUGAAUUACUGGGAAACUUCUGAACCUCUGCUUAGUGUCUACCCUUUGAGCUGCUGGCUGCCCAGGUGGAUGGCUCAGACUGUGUAUCUGGCUUAUUGGCAGAACCUUUGUCUCCUGUAGUUUCCCACUUGAGUGUGGAUUUUUCACUUUUUUGUUGAUCUGAUGCUGUUUGAGACAAAGUACUAGGAACCAGCUGGGGCACUGUCUAGCUAUGGCAAUGGUUUAAAAAAUUACAGUGCUGUUUCCACCGUAAUGGUUUUCUUUCCUCAAGUCCAUCAUCUGAAGCCAGUUGCCUCACUUUAAACAGGAGUUGCAUAUAUUAGGCAGGAAAGUUAAAACUGUUUAUGCUUUGCUGAAGCAGCAUAUAGUGUAUCUAAAGCAAUGCUUACUGUGAGAAAGCAAUUGUGUGAUACUGUUUACUGGCCAGUGCCCAGGUCUGCAGAAUAUCAAAGGCAGUAUCUAAAAACAGAUAUAGAUAGGUAAGUUCCUGAAAAUGGAGCUCAGUUUCAGCAACUGGUAGCAUCAAAGUCAAAAUUGCUACUGACUUUUUGUUGGAUAGUAUGUAGUCUUAGCAGUUUGUCUGUGUGCUGUCACUUACAGUAUCAGUGCCUACAAGAUCCCUUUGAUCAUUCUGACUUUGAUGGGACUUGUCAUGUGAAGAAGUCAUGAUACCUGUCAACUGAAUUAAAAUGCACAACUAUACUGCUGUUUUUUUAGAUCUAUUAAGCUAUGAUUCACAAAGGCAUCCUAAAACCGUCCUUGAUGUAUUGACUUAUGUCUCCAUUACCUGAAAUGAAUUACUUUUGAUUGUAAGGGGGCUUGAAAGGGUAAGAAAAUGAUACCUUCCUCAUGAAAAUUUUUGAGGCAAGAGAUUAUGUCAGGGGUAUUUGAGCCAGUCAGGCUCAGAAGCAAUAUGGGUAUGCUUUCCCAAUUAGGUACCAGAACUAAUGUGUAAAUUAGAUACAGAAUUUUGACCCAAGCUCAUAAGAACACAGCUCUGUGUUGUGCCACUGAGGUUUACUGCCUAGAGGCUGUCCAUUACUCUGUUGCAGGUUGUAGGUAGGCUUGAAAGAUGUACCUGAGCUACCUACUAGAUGUCUAGACGUGUUUCAGUAGAGAUUUUUUAAGAUGGGAAUGGCCCUACCUUCAGUAACACCAUGACUUCUUUACAUCACUCAGGUAGUGGAAAAUGAACUGAGGUAAGCUACAUAAAUUCUAUUCUGUAUUACUGGUGGUACAGACAGGCUUAACAAUGAAACGUUUUCUAUGCAGUGUAUGUUAAACAAAUAUUUCAUAAUUCCCAACAGGCAAUCUAAACAACUAUUUUCUUAUUGAUCUAUGUUUUUUUCAAUGCUACUCUUUUUGAAAGGAGAAAGUCAGUAUCAAAACAUAAAAAGUUUUCUUCCUUGACAACAGGUUAUGCUUUUUCCAAGAAGAUAGCAAUGCAAUUUAAACGUUGAUCUGUGGUCAUUUCCCCUAACUGAUUUGAUCUGAUCUGUCGCUAAAUCCCAACACUUUGUUGUAUAAUAAGCUCACAGUCUUUGAUUGUCACUGAUACCAGCACAGGAGCACUGAUCAGAAAAAAUCUUCCUUUGAUUUCUCCGGGUGGUGGAUCAGAUGCAGCAGUGCAAAGGAAAGAGCUGAGAGGAAAAAAAUAAAAGGAAAAAACAUAAACUUUUGAUUUCUGCC